GGAGCCUAGAACCAUAAAACUGAAAGUUAACGGUUCUGUGUUCUGCAGUCGGAUUCUGGGCGAAAUCGCCUCUUUGUUUCUAUUUCCUAUCCUCUACAGAAUAGGUACUGCAACAUUAGCCCUGUCUACGAAGAUCUUAGGGAAACCCUCCUUUCCACUGCAAGUUAAGAGCGUCCCUCUGCGACACCGGAGGCUGGUCUGGGUGUGAGUGACCCAGUCCUGGGCGUGCCCUGGCGGAGGGUGGCCCCUGUACCACCUUGAGAGCAACGACUGUCCGGGCCUUUAAGUUCUUCAGAAUGACCGUUGGAUCAUCAAAGCAACGUUCUUUUGAAGGUGGAUUUGAAGAGGCAGGAGACGGACAGAGCCACAUCAGGAAAAGGGCGUGGGAAUUCUGUGAGAUUACAAAUAUAAUCUCCAACUGACAAUUCAUUGUCAGGCUUUGAGGCUUUGGACCCUGGCUCCUGGAUGAAUCACUCAGAAAAGAGGAGAGAAGACGACUUGCUCAGAAGCAGGACAGAGCUGUGAUCCUGAAAGAGCCUGCCCACAGCCAGAGCAGCAGCGCACUGUGGUAGAAUUCCUCACAGUACAUUCAGCAGAGUACUUCUCGACUGCCUGUUGAGCCUGCUGGACGAAAAACCCCUGAAUUUCCACUCACCUGAAUCAAGACUGCAGUCUCCUGGAAAAGACCUCAAACAGUGAGGUUGAGUUUACUUUUCCUCUUUCAACAAGCCACACUACUAAGAACUGUGGUGCUGGAGAAGACUCUUGAGAGUCCCUUGGACUGCAAGGCGAUCAAACCAGUCUAUCCUAAAGGAAAUCAACCCUGAAUUUUCAUUGGAAGGACUGGUGCUAAAGCUGAGGCUCCAAUACUUGAGCCACCUGAUGCGAGCAGCCAACUCACUGGAAAAGAGCCUGAGGCAGGGAAAGGUUGAGGGCAAGAGGAGGAGGGGAAAACAGAGAAUGAGAUGGUUGGAUGGCAUCAUUGACUCAACGGAUAUGAGUUUGAGCAAAUUCUGGGAUACAGUGAAGGACAGGGAAGCCUGGCACCCUGUGGUUCAUGGGAUCGCAAAGAGUUGGACACGACUGAGCAACUGAGCAACAAGAGAGUAUUGUACACCGAAUAAGCCUGUCAAGUCAGGUACUAUGGGCUUGUGUUUCUCUUCAAUUCUCAUAUGCUUAAAUACGAAAUUUCCACAGUUGACAGGACACAGUGGACUGGGAGUCAGAGUUUGACUUUAGCUGUAGAUCUGUUACUUUGAUGCUGUUAUGCAAAUCAGUCAACUCCUCCAAGCCUCAAAUUUCUACAAUAUUUCCUCCAACUGGUGUGCUCUGUGAUUCUUUUGAAUUGCCCAAAGCAUUUUGGAUAGUGCCAGGCACUUGACAGCCCUCAGGAAAAGUAUCUAUAGCCGUACUUGAGAAGUUUCUGAAAUGGCCCACACAUGCGGAGCCAGGUCUUGAAACUUAACUACAUUGGUAAGAAUCAACAUAUUCAGAUGAACUUAAAGAUCCUGGAGACUAGAUUAUUUUAAACUAGGUGAACUCUGUUUACAACAUUAGUAUUUAAUAGUGAGAAAGAAAUUUAAGCUGUCACCAAUUUCUACCAGAGAUGAAUUAUUUCAGUGAUUUGUCAGGCAUUGAUUGCAUACCUGCUCUUCAUUUAUCACCGUGAUAAACAGUACAGAAGGAUGAAAACGGCCCCUUCUCUCUUCUCGAGGUAGUAGUUCAUCAUCUAGUGGAGACUAUAAGCAAGUUUUGUGUGUUACUCUUAUUUGAUCUUUACAACAAUCCUGUGAAGUAAGUGGUAUUGCUAAUUUUACAUUCCUAUGAAGGAAACUGAGGCACCAAGGGUAAGAUGAGUUGCCCCAUAACACAAAAUGGUAACUUGUGGAGCCUAGACUCACACUCAAAGCCUGGGCUGUAAACUGUAUCCCCCGGCACAAGGGAAUUAGUCUGUACCACUCAUUCCAAGUGUUUUUAAAAUGCAUACCAAGGGGUGUGCGGGGAGCGGCUUGAAAGAGCUGACUCUGGGAGCUGCCUUGAUUGAUUAUCAAGGGUCUGUUCGCAGACAUAGCUCUCUGUCCCGCCACCCCUCUGGAAUUUACUAUCCGAGUUAACUCCUAACAGACCAUUAGUGAGCCUUGAAUGCACACAAGGUGCAGAUAGAUGGCUUUGCACGACUGCCCUUAAGAUAAGUAGGAUGCCUUUGGCGCCAUGAGAGAGCUCUGGUGAUUAUCUUAAAGAUGAUGUACAUGGGGAAGAAUUUUCUUUGGGAUGCCUCUCUUCUUGGUUUAGUAUAUAUGUAACCCUGAGAAAUAAAGAAUCAUCGUUG